AUUCCAGCUCCAAUAGCGUAUAUUAAAGUUGUUGCAGUUAAAAAGCUCGUAGUUGGACUUGUGCGCGACCCUGAUGUCCUUUUUGGUACGUUUGGGGUUGCGCAUCCUUGGGUGGAAUCUGUGUGGCAUUAGGUUGUCGUGCAGGGGAUGCUCAUCGUUUACUGUGAAAAAAUUAGAGUGUUCAAAGCAGGCUUAUGCCGUUGAAUAUAUUAGCAUGGAAUAAUAAGAUAGGGCCUUGGUACUAUUUUGUUGGUUUGCGCACCGAGGUAAUGAUUAACAGGGACAGUUGGGGGUAUUCGUAUUCCAUUGUCAGAGGUGAAAUUCUUGGAUUUUUGGAAGACGAACUACUGCGAAAGCAUUUACCAAGGAUGUUUUCAUUAAUCAAGAACGAAAGUUAGGGGAUCGAAGAUGAUUAGAUACCAUCGUAGUCGUCA
rnacentral:rRNA from 1 species